UUGAAUAUGUAGUCAGGUAGCAAGUAUAUGAAUUCUAAGUUAGUUCUAUUUAGCAGGUAAGUUAGUUUAGUUAGUAGACAAGUAGCAUGUCAGAUUUGCAGAGGAUAAGGUAUAGCAAGUAAGGUAGGGUGGCUAGGUAGAAGACAAAUAAACUAGACUAAUACUGAUUACACACAGCUUGAUAGAGUGCCUGAGUAGGGGCCGGAUAGGGGCCAACUUACUAUGACUGAGACUGGAAGGUUCAACCAUGUAUGCCAUAAAAGACACUACAAGCUCAGCUAUAUAACUCCAUGUCCCACCCCUUAACCGACUUCCCAAGACUCUAGCACAGUAAGAAAAAAAAGAAAGAGAACUGAUUGAGAGUAAGAGAGAAAGAGUUCGACUAAGGAGGAGAAGCUGGGCAAUAUAACUCAUUUGAUACCUUCGAAUCAAUAAGGUAAGCUCAUUCUAGCCUUUUAAUCCUUUUCCAUUCGUUCCUUGUCUCUCUAAAUGGUAGCAACUGAACUGUUUGUGGUAGGAUGGCUAGUAAAUUAAUUCAAACCAUGACUCUUUCAAUGAUAUUGUUGGAUUCUAUGAUUGAGACGGUUAAAUAUGGUUAUAUACUUCUUGUGUUUAAGCCAUACGGCUGGGGGACAAUAAGUUAAGAGAUUAGGUAAUAUAUAUUUGAGACGGU
rnacentral:lncRNA from 1 species